ensembl:snoRNA SNORD15 Small nucleolar RNA SNORD15
CUUCGGUGAUGAUACGAUGACGAGUCGGAACGGGACACAGUCUGUCUCUGGGGUCACUGGGCCAGGGUCACGUUCUGUGUCUCUGGGUUGGGAUCCCCACAGCAGCGUGUCUCUUCAGUUGAAGACAUCGAGGCAUUUGUCUGAGAAGG